rnacentral:rRNA from 1 species
AGAGUUUGAUCCUGGCUCAGAGCGAACGCUGGCGGCAGGCCUAACACAUGCAAGUCGAACGAACUCUUCGGAGUUAGUGGCGGACGGGUGAGUAACACGUGGGAACGUGCCUUUAGGUUUGGAAUAACUCAGGGAAACUUGUGCUAAUACCGAAUGUGCCCUUCGGGGGAAAGAUUUAUCGCCUUUAGAGCGGCCCGCGUCUGAUUAGCUAGUUGGUGAGGUAAAGGCUCACCAAGGCGACGAUCAGUAGCUGGUCUGAGAGGAUGAUCAGCCACAUUGGGACUGAGACACGGCCCAAACUCCUACGGGAGGCAGCAGUGGGGAAUCUUGCGCAAUGGGCGAAAGCCUGACGCAGCCAUGCCGCGUGAAUGAUGAAGGUCUUAGGAUUGUAAAAUUCUUUCACCGGGGACGAUAAUGACGGUACCCGGAGAAGAAGCCCCGGCUAACUUCGUGCCAGCAGCCGCGGUAAUACGAAGGGGGCUAGCGUUGCUCGGAAUUACUGGGCGUAAAGGGAGCGUAGGCGGACAUUUAAGUCAGGGGUGAAAUCCCGGGGCUCAACCUCGGAAUUGCCUUUGAUACUGGGUGUCUUGAGUAUGAGAGAGGUAUGUGGAACUCCGAGUGUAGAGGUGAAAUUCGUAGAUAUUCGGAAGAACACCAGUGGCGAAGGCGACAUACUGGCUCAUUACUGACGCUGAGGCUCGAAAGCGUGGGGAGCAAACAGGAUUAGAUACCCUGGUAGUCCACGCUGUAAACGAUGUCGAUUUGGAGGUUGUGCCCUUGAGGCGUGGCUUCCGGAGCUAACGCGUUAAAUCGACCGCCUGGGGAGUACGGCCGCAAGGUUAAAACUCAAAUGAAUUGACGGGGGCCCGCACAAGCGGUGGAGCAUGUGGUUUAAUUCGAUGCAACGCGAAGAACCUUACCUACUCUUGACAUCCAGAGAACUUUCCAGA